rnacentral:lncRNA from 1 species
UUUCAACAUCUAGCAUCUAGCAGCCUGGUGGUGAGCUCUGCAUGAAGGGUUUUAGGCUUCCUGAUGAAAAGGUGAAGGAAGGCAUCCUCAAGUCUGACUGACUGCCUUAUGCUUCCUACCAUGAAAGUGAAGGAAGCUGGACCCAGCAUGAGCAGGGCUGGUGAAAGGAUGUCUUGUGACCCUGGCAUGUGUCACACGCUGGGAAGCUGCCACAAAUGGGAAACCCACUGGUGGAUGUCACUGCUCUGGAUGUGAUCCUUCUGCAGCGUCCACAAGUCCACCAGUGCUGUUGGCCAUUGGAGUAUUACCUUCCCUGCGGCUUUGGACACCCUGGAGGGGUUUAUGCUAUCACCUGAUUGCUGGCUGGAUCAACAUCAGUUGCCCCAGGGAUGCUGCUAGCUUGAGGUUUGUGUAGGGAGGGAAAACUGGG